UACGAAGGGGGCUAGCGUUGUUCGGAAUCACUGGGCGUAAAGCGCAUGCAGGCGGCUCGCUAAGUCGGGGGUGAAAUCCCGAGGCUCAACCUCGGAACUGCCUUCGAUACUGGCGAUCUUGAGUCCGGGAGAGGUGAGUGGAACUCCGAGUGUAGAGGUGAAAUUCGUAGAUAUUCGGAAGAACACCAGUGGCGAAGGCGGCUCACUGGCCCGGUACUGACGCUGAGAUGCGAAAGCGUGGGGAGCAAACAGG
rnacentral:rRNA from 1 species